UUAGCUGAUGGGAAACAGGUCAAUAUUCCUGUACCGAUGUGUAGUGCGAUGUGGGGACGGAUCUUAAUAAGUCAUCCGGGUGUUGGAUAUCCCGGUUUAGCUGGAUGUAGGCGAUGGGCAGGCAAAUCCGCCCGUCAUAUACCGAGGCCAGUGAUCGAGCAAGCUUGCUUGUGAAGUGAUCGAACGAGGUUCCAGGAAAAGCCACUAAGCUUCAGCUGCACACGACCGUACCGCAAACCGACACUGGUGCGCGAGAUGAGUAUUCUAAGGCGCUUGAGAGAACUCGGGAGAAGGAACUCGGCAAAUUGACACCGUAACUUCGGAAGAAGGUGUGCCCUAUUAGUGUGAAGCGAACAGCGGAGCAUGAACGGGUUGCAAAGAAUCGGUGGCUGCGACUGUUUAUUAAAAACACAGCACUCUGCAAACACGAAAGUGGACGUAUAGGGUGUGACGCCUGCCCGGUGCUGGAAGAUUAAAUGAUGGGGUGCAAGCUCUUGAUUGAAGUCCCGGUAAACGGCGGCCGUAACUAUAACGGUCCUAAGGUAGCGAAAUUCCUUGUCGGGUAAGUUCCGACCUGCACGAAUGGCGUAACGAUGGCCACACUGUCUCCUCCCGAGACUCAGCGAAGUUGAAAUGUUUGUGAUGAUGCAAUCUCCCCGCGGAAAGACGGAAAGACCCCAUGAACCUUUACUGUAGCUUUGUAUUGGACUUUGAACAGAUCUGUGUAGGAUAGGUGGGAGGCUUUGAAGCAGGGUCGCUAGAUCUUGUGGAGCCAACGUUGAAAUACCACCCUGGUGUGUUUGAGGUUCUAACCUAGGUCCAUUAUCUGGAUCGGGGACCGUGCAUGGUAGGCAGUUUGACUGGGGCGGUCUCCUCCCAAAGCGUAACGGAGGAGUUCGAAGGUACGCUAGUUACGGUCGGACAUCGUGACGAUAGUGCAAUGGCAUAAGCGUGCUUAACUGCGAGACUGACAAGUCAAGCAGAUGCGAAAGCAGGACAUAGUGAUCCGGUGGUUCUGUAUGGAAGGGCCAUCGCUCAACGGAUAAAAGGUACUCUGGGGAUAACAGGCUGAUACCGCCCAAGAGUUCAUAUCGACGGCGGUGUUUGGCACCUCGAUGUCGGCUCAUCUCAUCCUGGGGCUGUAGCCGGUCCCAAGGGUAUGGCUGUUCGCCAUUUAAAGAGGUACGUGAGCUGGGUUUAAAACGUCGUGAGACAGUUUGGUCCCUAUCUUCCGUGGGCGCUGCAGAUUUGAGGAAGCCUGCUCCUAGUACGAGAGGACCGGAGUGGACACACCUCUGGUGUAUCGGUUGUCACGCCAGUGGCAUUGCCGAGUAGCUAUGUGUGGAAGAGAUAAACGCUGAAAGCAUCUAAGCGUGAAACUCGUUUCAAGAUGAGAUCUGCCGGGGCCUUGAGCCCCCUGAAGAGUCGUUCGAGACCAGGACGUUGAUAGGCAGGGUGUGGAAGCGCAGUAAUGCGUUAAGCUAACCUGUACUAAUUGCUCGUGUGGCUUGACCCG
rnacentral:rRNA from 1 species